AACCCCUGUGAACAUACCUUAAUGUUGCCUCGGCGGAUCAGCCCGCGCCCCGUAAAACGGGACGGCCCGCCAGAGGACCCAAACUCUAAUGUUUCUUAUUGUAACUUCUGAGUAAAACAAACAAAUAAAUCAAAACUUUCAACAACGGAUCUCUUGGUUCUGGCAUCGAUGAAGAACGCAGCAAAAUGCGAUAAGUAAUGUGAAUUGCAGAAUUCAGUGAAUCAUCGAAUCUUUGAACGCACAUUGCGCCCGCUGGUAUUCCGGCGGGCAUGCCUGUUCGAGCGUCAUUUCAACCCUCAAGCCCCCGGGUUUGGUGUUGGGGAUCGGCUCUGCCCUUCUGGGCGGCGCCGCCCCCGAAAUACAUUGGCGGUCUCGCUGCAGCCUCCAUUGCGUAGUAGCUAACACCUCGCAACUGGAACGCGGCGCGGCCAUGCCGUAAAACCCCAACUUCUGAAUGUUGACCUCGGAUCAGGUAGGAAUACCCGCUGAACUUAAGCAUAUCAAUAAGCGGAGGAAAA
rnacentral:rRNA from 1 species